CAGUCUGGACUGGAAUGCAGGUCAUGC
rnacentral:piRNA from 1 species